rnacentral:rRNA from 1 species
CUGUAAACGAUGUCGAUUUGGAGGUUGUUCCCUUGAGGAGUGGCUUCCGGAGCUAACGCGUUAAAUCGACCGCCUGGGGAGUACGGCCGCAAGGUUAAAACUCAAAUGAAUUGACGGGGGCCCGCACAAGCGGUGGAGCAUGUGGUUUAAUUCGAUGCAACGCGAAGAACCUUACCUACUCUUGACAUCCAGAGAAUUUAGCAGAGAUGCUUUAGUGCCUUCGGGAACUCUGAGACAGGUGCUGCAUGGCUGUCGUCAGCUCGUGUUGUGAAAUGUUGGGUUAAGUCCCGCAACGAGCGCAACCCUUAUCCUUUGUUGCCAGCACAUUAUGGUGGGAACUCAAAGGAGACUGCCGGUGAUAAACCGGAGGAAGGUGGGGAUGACGUCAAGUCACCAUGGCCCUUACGAGUAGGGCUACACACGUGCUACAAUGGCGUAUACAAAGAGAAGCGACCUCGCGAGAGCAAGCGGAACUCAUAAAGUACGUCGUAGUCCGGAUUGGAGUCUGCAACUCGACUCCAUGAAGUCGGAAUCGCUAGUAAUCGUAGAUCAGAAUGCUACGGUGAAUACGUUCCCGGGCCUCGUACACACCGCCCGUCACACCAUGGGAGUGGGUUGCAAAAGAAGUAGGUAGCUUAACCUUCGGGAGGGCGCUUACCACUUUGUGAUUCAUGACUGGGGUGAAGUCGUAACAAGGUAACCA